GACGAACGCUGGCGGCGUGCUUAACACAUGCAAGUCGAACGGAAAGGCCCUGCUUUUGUGGGGUGCUCGAGUGGCGAACGGGUGAGUAACACGUGAGUAACCUGCCCUUGACUUUGGGAUAACUUCAGGAAACUGGGGCUAAUACCGGAUAGGAGCUCCUGCUGCACGGUGGGGGUUGGAAAGUUUCGGCGGUUGGGGAUGGACUCGCGGCUUAUCAGCUUGUUGGUGGGGUAGUGGCUUACCAAGGCUUUGACGGGUAGCCGGCCUGAGAGGGUGACCGGCCUCAUUGGUACUGAGAUACGGCCCAGACUCCUACGGGCGGCAGCAGUGGGGAAUAUUGCACAAUGGGCGGAGGCCUGAUGCAGCAACGCCGCGUGCGUGAUGACGGCCUUCGGGUUGUAAACCGCUUUCGCCUGUGACGAAGCGUGAGUGACGGUAAUGGGUAAAGAAGCACCGGCUAACUACGUG
rnacentral:rRNA from 1 species